UACGGGGGGAGCAAGCGUUUGUUCGGAUUUACUGGGCGUAAAGGGCGCGUAGGCGGCCAGCGCAAGUCAGUUGUGAAAUCUCCGGGCUUAACUCGGAACGUCAACUGAUACUGUGCGGCUAGAGUGCGGAAGGGGCAACUGGAAUUCUUGGUGUAGCGGUGAAAUGCGUAGAUAUCAAGAGGAACACCUGCGGCGAAGGCGGGUUGCUGGGCCGACACUGACGUGAGGCGCGAAAGCCAGGGGAGCGAACGGG
rnacentral:rRNA from 1 species